GCAGGAGUCUUUAGAACAUCUGUUUUAUGGAGGAUUCUAAGGCUAUAGUGUUCAUCAAGUAGGUACAACAGAAGACUAGGAAUCAACACCAAGUUUUGCACUGCGCUAACUGCCUGAAAUACUUUGUGGCUUCAUGAGAGACAUACUUCUUCAGAAACCAAUCACAGGAAGCAGAGGGAAGAGAGACCAAGCAGCAUCAGAAAGCAGGCAUGGAGUGGCUUUGCCACUGCCAUCUUUAGAAGACAGACCUUGCCUCUCAGAGCAGACUCGGCUCUCUGAGAUCCUUUCCAGACUGAGCCACAGGGUUUUACAACAUCAUUUGAGAUAUAUAAAUGAAGAUAUUUCUUCCGGGUAUCAAGCCCAUCUGUGGAUAUUAUUUAAUGAAAUGGGAAGGAAGGAUACAAACCAAAUGGUACCAGGGACAGUCAGGCAAGUUCCAGAUCUCAGCAACGCAACCCAAACAAGAGAGGCAGGAAGAGAUGAGAUACCGGCAACCAACACCUGGACAGAGCUCGCUCCAAGGAAGACCGAAGCCUUGUUUUGUUCGAAGGCUUGCUUUCACAUAGUUUGCUCUCCAACUAGAUUAAAACC
rnacentral:lncRNA from 1 species